rnacentral:rRNA from 1 species
GAUCGGACCUCCAAUCAGGCAAGAGUACCCGCUGAAUUUAAGCAUAUAACUAAGCGGAGGAAAAGAAACUAACCAGGAUUCCCCUAGUAACUGCGAGUGAAGCGGGAAGAGCUCAGACUGAAAAUCUUCGGAGUUGUAGUCUGUCGAGGUCAAGUCAGUCGGCGCGUUCGAGCGAAGUGUGGUUGAAUCCACUGCCGAGGAGGGUGAAAGCCCCGUACGUGCUUGAAUGUCGCUGAUGUACGACUGGCCUUCUACGAGUCGAGUUGUUUGGGAUUGCAGCUCUAAGCGGGUGGUAAAUUCCAUCUAAAGCUAAAUAUGGGUGGGAGACCGAUAGCGAACAAGUACCGUGAGGGAAAGAUGAAAAGAACUUUGAAAAGAGAGUUAAAAAGUACCUGAAAUUGCUGAAAAGGAAUCGAAAGGAGGCAGUGUUGGUCGGCCGUCAUCUCCGGGCUCUGCGUGCAGGGUUCGUCGUGGCGGCGGACAAGUCAGGCUUGCUUGUGUGUGCGGGAGAGGGUCACCGGGCCUUGUGCUGGUGUUUCCUGCCGUGCGUGCGAGCGACCUCUGACGAAAUGCCUCUUUUCAUCCCGUCUUGAAACACGGACCAAGGAGUCUAACAUGUGUGCGAGUACUCGGAGUUUGACCUCCCAGCGCGCAAUUAACGUAAAGAUAGAGCUUGCUCUAUUGCGGUAGGAAGGCUCGAGCCUGCACUAUCGACCGACCUUGAUCCUCCGGGUGAAGGGUUUGAGUGUGAGCAUACCUGUUGGGACCCGAAAGAUGGUGAACUAUGCCUGAGUAGGACG